UGAUCCAAGAAAUCGGCACGGUUAUUGUGAAGAUGACUGCCAGGGGAAACGAAGGCGCUCUGGGAAGUUUGCUGUUUAUGUAGGGCUCGACAGGAGUAUGUUGAAGCUAAGUAUGUUUGGAACACAGCUAUGGUUUGUGUGACUCGUGUCUUUAUGUAGGUUGCUAGUUGACCUUCAGCCCAGCUGAAUGAAAACUGCUGCUGAAACACUGCUGGAUGAUCCCAAGCAGCAAUGAAUGAGGGAAGAACUUCCAGGACCACGAACACAUCACUGAUCACCAACUUAAUUGACCUCAUCACCCAUUUCCCAAAAAAGGUC